UGAGGGCGUGGCGAAGGGUUACACGGGAGUCGGAGCACAGAGCACACUCAGAGCUGGCGAGACUGGGAGUCAGAGGGAGAUAUCAGGAAGAAACCGGCGCCGUCGGCAGAGAUGAUAUCUCUGGUUUUGGCGUGGCUUUCAGUGAGUUUGAUCUGAGAAUGAGGUUCUUGUUUUUUCUAUGAUGUUUUCAAAGAGCAUCAUCCAGCCUGCUGUCAAUCAGUACUAGGUAGCAUCUCAUUUGGUUAUAAGGUCAUUUUGCCCUUCUAUCAGUGGAAACCUGAUGUCUGCAAUACCCCAAACCUAUUUGCACAAUGCAGCACCAAACUUUGAAUUACUCAAGACUUUAAUUCAGAAAGAGCAGGAUAAUUUGCAGAAAGUGACACAGGAGGUCAAGCAUCAUGAAGACAAUCUGAAAUUUCUCAGAUCCCAUGUCAACUCUAUUCAUGAGUCCAUUUAUCAUUUG